GCUUAGAGUUUGAUCCUGGCUCAGAACGAACGCUGGCGGCAGGCCUAACACAUGCAAGUCGAACGAACCUUUUAGGUGAGUGGCGCACGGGUGCGUAACGCGUGGGAAUCUACAUCUCGGUGCGGAAUAACACAGAGAAAUUUGUGCUAAUACCGCAUAAUGACUCCGGUCCAAAGAUUUAUCGCCGAGGGAUGAGCCCGCGUUUGAUUAGAUUGUUGGUGAGGUAAAAGCUCACCAAGUCGACGAUCAAUAGCUGGUCUUAGAGGACGAUCAGCCACACUGGUACUGAGACACGGACCAGACUCCUACGGGAGGCAGCAGUGAGGAAUAUUGCACAAUGGGGGCAACCCUGAUGCAGCCAUGCCGCGUGCGUGAAGAAGGCCCUAGGGUUGUAAAGCGCUUUCAGUUGUGAAGAUAAUGACGGUAGCAACAGAAGAAGCUCCGGCUAAAUUCGUGCCAGCAGCCGCGGUAAUACGAAUGGAGCGAGCGUUGUUCGGAAUCACUGGGCGUAAAGCGUGCGCAGGCGGACUUGCAAGUCAGGAGUGAAAUCCCGGGGCUUAACCCCGGAACUGCUCUUGAAACUGCAAGUCUAGAGUCCCGGAGAGGUAAGGGGAAUUCCGAGUGUAGAGGUGAAAUUCGCAGAUAUUCGGAGGAACACCAGUGGCGUAGGCGCCUUACUGGACGGGUACUGACGCUCAGGCACGAAAGCGUGGGGAGCAAACAGGAUUAGAUACCCUGGUAGUCCACGCCGUAAACGAUGUGUGCUAGUUGUCGGGCAGUUUACUGUUCGGUGACGCAGCUAACGCACUAAGCACACCGCCUGGGGAGUACGGUCGCAA
rnacentral:rRNA from 1 species